UACGGGGGGGGCAAGCGUUGUUCGGAAUUACUGGGCGUAAAGGGCUUGUAGGUGGCCAACUAAGUCAGACGUGAAAUCCCUCAGCUUAACUGGGGAACUGCGUCUGAUACUGGAUGGCUUGAGUUUGGGAGAGGGAUGCGGAAUUCCAGGUGUAGCGGUGAAAUGCGUAGAUAUCGUAAGGAAGACCAGUGGCGAAGGCGGGUCUCUGGACAGUUCCGUGACGCUGAGGCGCGAAGGCCAGGGGAGCAAAGCGGGG
rnacentral:rRNA from 1 species